UGGCGGACGGGUGAGUAACGCGUGGGUAACCCGCCUUACACAGGGGGAUAACACCUGGAGACAGGUGCUAAUACCGCAUAAGCGCACAGGGCCGCAUGGCCCGGUGUGAAAAACUCCGGUGGUGUAAGAUGGACCCGCGUCUGAUUAGCUUGUUGGCGGGGUAGGGGCCCACCAAGGCGACGAUCAGUAGCCGGCCUGAGAGGGUGGACGGCCACAUUGGGACUGAGACACGGCCCAAACUCCUACGGAAGGCAGCAG
rnacentral:rRNA from 1 species